rnacentral:lncRNA from 10 species
AGAGAUGGCGUAACGGGAAUAGUUUUCAACGUCUAUUUCAUUCCCUGCUUCAGAGGACCUCUUUAAUCUUUGAUUUUGGUCCCUGUUUCUAAGAAAAGCAACUGAAAAGGUCGUAAUACCGCCCCUGAGAAAAAAGGAGCAGCGCUAAAUAAUCGAGAAAAUGCCUCCUCUUGAAACGGAUAUAGAGAUGGAAACAAGAUAUAAGAAGGAUUGAGAAUCAUAUAAUACAGGAGCUUAAACACCUAUGCGCGAUGAUAAAGAGGGUACUAUUAGAGCGCUUGGAAAAUACCAGGAAGUUGAGAGAGUUAACAGAAGGGCGCACGCUGGAUUGGCCACAAAAUCGAAUUACUGAAAGUUGCUCCUUGUCCUUAUAUGAAGUAGAUUCCAGACCUCACAAUUGUAUAUGCCUACCCUUCUACUCCAACCCCUCAAAAAAAGAGGAAGAAUGAAAGAAUGAACAAGAGAAAAGGAAGGAAGAGAGGGAGAGAGGAAAGGAGGGAAGGAUGGUCCUGAAGAUCACAGUUCGGUGCUGAAAAAAGCAUUUCUAUUAAACUUCAAGACAGA